UACAGAGGGGCGAGCGUUAUUCGGAAUUAUUGGGCGUAAAGGGCGCGUAGGCGGCUUGACAAGUCCAAGGUGAAAUCCCUCGGCUUAACCGAGGAACUGCCUGUCAGACUGGAAGGCUUGAGACCGGGAGAGGUGAGUGGAAUUCCCGAGUGUAGCGGUGAAAUGCGUAGAUAUUGGGAGGAACACCAGUGGCGAAGGCGGCUCACUGGACCGGAACUGACGCUGAGGCGCGAAAGCGUGGGGAGCAAACAGG
rnacentral:rRNA from 1 species